AUUGAACGCUGGCGGCAUGCCUUACACAUGCAAGUCGAAUGGUAACGGGCCUUCGGGUGCCGACGAGUGGCGAACGGGUGAGUAAUACAUCGGAACGUGCCCGAUCGUGGGGGAUAACGAGGCGAAAGCUUUGCUAAUACCGCAUACGAUCUACGGAUGAAAGCAGGGGACCGCAAGGCCUUGCGCGGACGGAGCGGCCGAUGGCAGAUUGGGUAGUUGGUGGGAUAAAAGCUUACCAAGCCGACGAUCUGUAGCUGGUCUGAGAGGAUGAUCAGCCACACUGGGACUGAGACACGGCCCAGACUCCUACGGGAGGCAGCAGUGGGGAAUUUUGGACAAUGGGCGCAAGCCUGAUCCAGCCAUGCCGCGUGCAGGAUGAAGGCCUUCGGGUUGUAAACUGCUUUUGUACGGAACGAAAAGCCUUCUUUUAAUACAGGAGGGUCAUGACGGUACCGUAAGAAUAAGCACCGGCUAACUACGUG
rnacentral:rRNA from 1 species